GGCCGUGGCCUCCUCUCCCACCACCCCACAAAUAGCUAACCUCCUCCCCUUCCUCCCACUUAAAAAAAAGCUAACCUCCUCCCCGUACCCACUUGCUCCUAAUUUUCCUCUCCGUCUCCACAAUCAUCUCCUCGCCACCCUGGUUCUCGGAUCAAACGCAGAUCAAGGCUCCCGGGAUGCUUAUCCUGGAGCAACGUACUGAAAUGCAGAGUCGAGAAAGAAUCAUUAACCCCUCACCCAAAUCUUUCUUGCAGGAAAUUUUGGAUUUGAUUUCGUACUAGGUGGUGCCACCGGGGGCCACGAUCUGGAGCGACGGGGAGGACGUAUGGAACACCGACCUAUCCAAGUUCGAGAUCCGGGCCAGGUUCGCGUCUGGUACGCCGUCCUCAACGUCGCCAUCAAGAUGGUGAGCCAGCUAGAGCUGGAUCCCGCCAUCGCCGCCUAGUUCGAGCGCAGCCUUCGAGGUCUCCCUCUGCCUCCGCCACCAGAACAUCAUCACCGUACGUACUUCUGCAAUCCUCUUGUUUUCUCAGUCCAACCUUUCUCAGCCGCAAGUCCCGCCCUCCGUCGAUCUGAUCCACCAGCGUCGAUGGCGACGCAUCCAUGUUUCUCUGCUGGAUCUUUGAGUUCUUAGUCAUAUUAGUAUUUCGACAUCUUCGCUGGAUUUCCCGCUAUAGUGUUGUAGAAUAGGGCAGGCCCAAGCUCCCUCUUCUCCUUUCCAGAUGUUCAAUUUUAGGCAUGUUUCCUAUCUAGUUCUCCAUCUGCAGGUUGUUGCUACUUAGCUGACUGAUUUACAUAUAUGGAACCGUGGCUAUCUGUGUUAAUUCACAGGAAGAAUAUUUCCUUCCUCCUUUCUGACAAACUGUUUUUGUGAUGCAUUUAAUUUCUUUGAUUUUCUUGCUACUAUAUAGUAUGUAGGUGAAUACUUAAUUACUAAUAUUUUCAAUUGAAGUUGAUCAUCAGACUCAUUCAAUUAGCUGCCAUAUUAUCUCAAAUUAUUCCUAGUUUGUGACCAUGUCAUCAAAGUGGAUCUUCAAGGAUCAAUGGGUCAACACUAUUAACAACGAAUGACAUUUGGUUACUUUAAGGAGAAAAAAAGAUCCCCUUAUCAGUGUUAUGAAUCUUAUUAAUUUGUUUGACACACUUUGCACUAAAGAAUUGAGUCAGACAUGCACAUCUCUGCACAUCUUAACUCGUUCCUGUAGGUUCUGUAUGUUUCUUGUGCCGCCCCACUUCUAUCUAUUUUGGUGUCCGCAUCAUCAGUUACACCAAUAUUAUCCACCGGGUUGCCAUUCCAGGCUUUGACUAUGCUCAUUUUUGGGUUUAAAAUUUGGUUUAGUUGUAAACGUGCAGGGCAGGAACAAUGCGAGGUUAGGUGCGUCUCCUUUAUGGACGACAGCAGUGACUCGGCCGCACUAAUGCAGCGAAUAUAAUGCAAGAUGCAGUACUGAGAAGUCAGAUGGAUCUAAGUAAGUAUAGUUACAGCUACUGAUUAUGCACGGGUAACUGUUUGGCCAAGGAGGAAAAGUUAGCUGCAUGUACAGUACUAGGAAAAUAAAAAUGACACGACCCAAGGAUGUUUAGUUUUUGCAUUGCCCAUCUCAUUUAGCAAUGUACUUUAAACUGUUACAGUAUUCUUUUUUGCAAGCAAUUUUUUGGUUCAAACAACACUAACUGUAUGUUGUUGAAAAAGUAGCCUACCUAUUAGUAUGGUAAUCACUUACGUGAAAUACUGAACCAUGUCCCUUGAAAAAUAUAUUUAUUUGUUAAAUAGAUUUUUAGCAUACUAAUAUCACUUCCUUAGGAUUUCAGAUUAAAUCAGAGUUCAUAUUCAGUAUACUUAUUUAAAAUGAGAUAAACAAUUUGAGCCAGAUACCAGCGUAUGAAUAAUGAUUUAUUGAUGACUGGCAGCCGAUCUACAGUGUGUUUUGUAAGCAGAACUUAAUUUUGUUUCCCCAGUUCACCAAGGGUGUUAUUGGCUCAUGCAGGUUACAGUUUGUCAACCAAUCAAAUUUCAUGUCAGUAUACAUAUAUUUGGUCUUCUAAAUUACCAACCAUAUGCUGAAUCUGCAGUUUACAAACACUUGAUAUAUAAUCUUUGUACAGAGCUACCAUGGUGCUCCUUUGAGUUUCUACUGCUUUAACCAGUUUUUUUCUGCCAUACGUUACUCAUCUCAUUUAUUUGUUGUUGUAGAUUGCCAAGAACUGAUGAUGCUUGGGUCAGAUGUUGAUGGCAAUGUCGAGAAUGUGGCCACUAUUAGAUAAUUAGAUGUCAAAUUUAGGGUCAACGUUUCAACCAUUGUAGUUGAUUGCAAGGUUGACAAUUGGGCUACUACUAGAUUGUUUCACAUCUUGUAAUCUUUGGAAUGUGUUCUUUUGUAAUGCAACACAAUUGAUUUAAUACAUGAGACCUUCUGUUCAUUAUAUUGCGACUCAUAUUUGCCCACUCAU
rnacentral:lncRNA from 1 species